GUAACGCGUGAGGAACCUGCCUCAAAGAGGGGGACAACAGUUGGAAACGACUGCUAAUACCGCAUAAGCCCACAGCUCGGCAUCGAGCAGAGGGAAAAGGAGUGAUCCGCUUUGAGAUGGCCUCGCGUCCGAUUAGCUAGUUGGUGAGGUAAUGGCCCACCAAGGCGACGAUCGGUAGCCGGACUGAGAGGUUGAACGGCCACAUUGGGACUGAGACACGGCCCAGACUCCUACGGGAGGCAGCAUG
rnacentral:rRNA from 1 species